rnacentral:rRNA from 1 species
AUUGAACGCUGGCGGCAGGCCUAGCACAUGCAAGUCGAGCGGAUGAAGGGAGCUUGCUCCUGGAUUCAGCGGCGGACGGGUGAGUAAUGCCUAGGAAUCUGCCUGGUAGUGGGGGAUAACGUCCGGAAACGGGCGCUAAUACCGCAUACGUCCUGAGGGAGAAAGUGGGGGAUCUUCGGACCUCACGCUAUCAGAUGAGCCUAGGUCGGAUUAGCUAGUUGGUGGGGUAAAGGCCUACCAAGGCGACGAUCCGUAACUGGUCUGAGAGGAUGAUCAGUCACACUGGAACUGAGACACGGUCCAGACUCCUACGGGAGGCAGCAGUGGGGAAUAUUGGACAAUGGGCGAAGGCCUGAUCCAGCCAUGCCGCGUGUGUGAAGAAGGUCUUCGGAUUGUAAAGCACUUUAAGUUGGGAGGAAGGGCAGUAAGUUAAUACCUUGCUGUUUUGACGUUACCAACAGAAUAAGCACCGGCUAACUUCGUG